rnacentral:lncRNA from 1 species
AUAACGUCUUCUGAAGGGGGUUGGGGGGGGGUAGGUGGGGGGAGGACAUAGUCUUCUCUGCACAAUGUUCCCAUUUAUUAAAUCGAGUGCUUAUUUUUAAAUUGCAAAUAUCUUUGUUUGGUUCACUGAAAAUUAAAGCCAAGAUGUAGGAAGUUACAUGAUGCAACAAUUAUUCGUGUCAUAUCAGAGAAUCAAACCCCUAUCUCCCCUUCUAUGGUUAAGGUCGGAUGAGGAGGAAGAGGGAACCUGGGGGGAUCCAGGGCAGGAGGUUUUUUGGUGGAAAAAUACAAAUCUGUUCGCCCUGCAGGACGCCGGAUGCCGCCUUCAGCUGCUGCUGCAGACACCUGCCUCCCUCUCCACCCGGGGCCGCUGCGCCUGUCCGGUGAAGUUGAACAGAAGAGACGGGAGGGUGCAGAAGGGCCCCAAAGCUGCACUGCAGACAGCACUUCAUCUCGAACGUCCAAGUCCUACUUUAAGAAGUCCUGACUAAUAUUAAACAGCAGCAAUCUCGAUCGACAGCCGUCUUAAAGAACUGUCCCCAUAACUGUUCCAAAGCAAUCUCAAAGCUUUCUUGGACGGAGAAGGACCCCCCCCCCGCCCAAGGCUCUCUACCACCUACCUGGCGGCGUUUAACAUCCAGGUAGCCCUCAGAGAAAAAGGACCCUGUUUUCCCGCCUGGGGGCGGGGAAGGAGCUUGCGCAUGUUGCGUCUUUCUAUUCCGCACAGAAUUAGGAGCUGGGCCCUUGAGGGAUUCCCUUUUCUUAACUACUCUCUGAGGAUCCGGCCAAUUCUGGCGGGAUUUGCUGGGCUCGAGUAGAACUUAGCGCCCACGGGGUGGGGUGUGAUGGGAGGAAAAGGCGGUAGUGGUGGGUGGAGGGGGACGCAUCUCCUUUCUUUCACAUAAUUGGGGCCGGCGAAACCAGAGGGGGUAGCGCGGUAGGGAGUGUUAUUUACCGCCCUCCACCUGAAAUAAGCAAGACCAAUAACGCGCCACGGUUUUCGCCCUGUUUACUCCAUCCCCAUUCAGUGAUUGGCAAAACAGGCCCUGAAGGCAAAGGCAAUAAUUGCUCCCCGCUCUCCUUACUAGGGAAAAGUGUGUAGGCAUUUGAAGUGUACUAAAAAUAAACGAAGGAGCGAGAAAAUGAAAAGGGGACA